GACGAACGCUGGCGGCGUGCUUAACACAUGCAAGUCGAACGGAAAGGCCCUGCUUUUGUGGGGUGCUCGAGUGGCGAACGGGUGAGUAACACGUGAGUAACCUGCCCUUGACUUUGGGAUAACUUCAGGAAACUGGGGCUAAUACCGGAUAGGAGCUCCUGCUGCAUGGUGGGGGUUGGAAAGUUUCGGCGGUUGGGGAUGGACUCGCGGCUUAUCAGCUUGUUGGUGGGGUAGUGGCUUACCAAGGCUUUGACGGGUAGCCGGCCUGAGAGGGUGACCGGCCACAUUGGGGCUGAGAUACGGCCCAGACUCCUACGGGAGGCAGCAGGGGGGAAUAUUGCACAAUGGGCGGAAGCCUGAUGCAGCAACGCCGCGUGCGGGAUGACGGCCUUCGGGUUGUAAACCGCUUUCGCCUGUGACGAAGCGUGAGUGACGGUAAUGGGUAAAGAAGCACCGGCUAACUACGUG
rnacentral:rRNA from 1 species